UACGUAGGGGGCGAGCGUUGUCCGGAAUUAUUGGGCGUAAAGGGUUCGUAGGCGGUAAUACAUGUCAGAUGUGAAAUCUUGUGGCUUAACCACAUCAAGCAUCUGAAACUGUAUAACUUGAGUGGAGGAGAGGUAAGUGGAAUUCCUAGUGUAGCGGUGAAAUGCGUAGAUAUUAGGAAGAAUACCAGUAGCGAAGGCGACUUACUGGCCUCUAACUGACGCUGAUGAACGAAAGCGUGGGGAGCAAACAGGAUUAGAUACCCUGGUA
rnacentral:rRNA from 1 species